UACAGAGGGUGCGAGCGUUGUUCGAAAUUAUUGGGCGUAAAGGGCGCGUAGGCGGUGCGGUAAGUCACCUGUGAAAUCUCCUGGCUCAACUGGGAGCUUGCAGGCGAAACUGCCGUGCUGGAGUGUGGGAGAGGUGCGUGGAAUUCCUGGUGUAGCGGUGAAAUGCGUAGAUAUCAGGAGGAACACCCGUGGCUAAGGCGGCUCUCUAGUACGGUACUGACGCUGAGACGCGAAAGCGUGGGGAGCGAACAGG
rnacentral:rRNA from 1 species